rnacentral:lncRNA from 1 species
AUUAAAAAGAGUCCAAAACGUAGCAUCUACAAUGAAAAUAAAAAUAAAAAGUAAUUGUUAUUUGACUGAAUUUUGACUUUCAUUUUGGUCCAUAACAAAAUCUUAAAAAAAUAAAAAUUAAUGUUGAAAUUUGUUAUCACAAAUCAAAAUCUUAUUUGUGUAAGCAUAAAAACCCUUUUAAGAAUCUUUGAAAAAAACACCAACCUCAACAUAUGUUGAGGUUGUAACAAGCCCAAUUUGCCCGGGACUAGGACUAAAAGAAACCAAAAUUCCAAACCCUCUAAACCCAAAAGGCCCAAAUCAGAAAAACUAGCCCAAUACCCAAAAAUAGAAAAAAUAAAACAGAAACCCUAGCCCCCCUAACCCUAGCCGCCACACCCUAUGUCUGCCACCACACCUAGGGUCCUCUGACCUCUGCCACCACCAGUUUGUUGCUGCAGCACCGCCCCCUCCACUUGCACCUGCAAAAGAAGAA